GGGGGCGUGGCUCAGUUGGGAGAGCGCCUGCUUUGCAAGCAGGAGGUCGGCGGUUCGAUUCCGCCCGUCUCCACCA
rnacentral:tRNA from 2 species